CGGGUUGUAAAGCACUUUGAUCUGGGAAGAAAAAGCUUUGGCUAAUAUCCAAAGCCUUGACGGUACCAGAGGAACAAGCACCGGCUAACUCUGUGCCAGCACCCGCGGUAAUACAGAGGGUGCUAGCGUUAAUCGGAUUUACUGGGCGUAAAGCGUGUGUAGGCGGUUCGUUAAGUCGGAUGUGAAAGCCCUGGGCUCAACCUGGGAAUUGCACUCGAUACUGGCGGGCUAGAGUACGGUAGAGGGCGGCGGAAUUCCGGGUGUAGCGGUGAAAUGCGUAGAUAUCCGGAGGAACACCGAUGGCGAAGGCAACCGCCUGGGCCUGUACUGACGCUGAGACACGAAAGCGUGGGGGGCAAACAGGAUUAGAUACCCUGGUAGUCCACGCCGUAAACGAUGAGAACUUGACGUCGGUUUGCUCUGCGAAUCGGUGUCGAAGCUAACGCGCUAAGUUCUCCGCCUGGGGAGUACGGCCGCAAGGUUGAAACUCAA
rnacentral:rRNA from 1 species